GAGGGUAUAGCUCAGUGGCAGAGUGAGUGCUUAGCAUGCACAAGGUUCUGGGUUAAAUCCCCAGUACCUUUG
rfam:Camelus ferus unplaced genomic scaffold scaffold644, whole genome shotgun sequence.